CAGCAAAUGAAAAGGAGAAGGAAGAGCAAUGGUACGCAGCCUGUGACUUCAUGAGUGCUGCCAUACAUGAUCCAAGCUUCUUGGCUGAAACUGUGCAUUGCAGUGGCUGAGGACAGUUCAGAGUGACGAAGGCACCCUGUUGUUUCUCCACGCUCUGCUGUUGUUGCCACAGAAUAAGUGAUCUUCAGAUGGAGUUAACAACUGUUACUGGUGUUGAAGAAAGAGACUGGGAGUGAGGGCAAGAAUGCAGAGGACCUGCAGGGGUGACAGGAUAGAAGGAUGUGAAAACAGCUCAACAGCAGACUAAGAAGACAUGAGCUGUUCUGUGCUCACAGGAAAAUCAUUGGGAUUCUUGCCAUGAAUGCAGAACUGAGUUGCUUUCAGCAUUUCAGUACCCAUCACUAUAUUAUCUAGGCGCCACCACAAGAUUAAGGAGCUCAACAUGAUCUGCUCAGGGGUCAUUAGCAGAGCCUUUCAUACUGGAGAAGGUCGGAGGAGAGUAAGGAAGUGCACAACAGAAGGAAAGAAAAAGGAAAAGGAGGUGAACAGCAGACAGACUCAGUAAGACACCUGUGCUCAGGGAAGGUGGCACACUGCAGUCAGAAGCACCCACCCCGAGUCGCUGUCGGAUGCAGAGGCUGAGGAAUGAGCAGAACAAUGUUCCUGCUGCUGGCCACCACUGCUCUCCUCCUGCUUCCCCAACAGGCUCCAGGCACUUUCCCUUGUCCUUCUGAUUCCCUUCCUGAAUUACUCCAGCCAAGUAAUUGUUUCAUCAUGUUGCACAGAGACAUUUUGCUGUAGUGUCAAUGUGACAUUCACUUCUAAAACCAACACUUCUCAUUUACACAAACACAACUCAGGCUCACACAGCUCUGCAGUCCCGGAUCGCAGGUGGGCUGAUGUGGGAGGGGAGCAGCCCAGGGCUGAGGUCUUAGAGGGAUUUUUGCAUUCUUUGAAGGAGACUGUGAUUCCUGUUACUGUAAUUUCUAGACAACAUCAAUGAGCUACCUACCACAGGCUUAAUGAAAUGCUUUUGCAAUACACUAGCAAACACGAGGUAUUUAUAGAAAACAAACCAACUGCUGCACUUGUUUUAUGUGGCGAUGGGGACCAUAAACUUUUGUUGCCUCUCUGUCAAAAAUGCAGUUCUUUGGCUGGGAUGAUGUUCAAGCCAAUUAAAACAAGGUCUGAUGACAAAGCCAGCAUCUCUAUAGUGUACAGAGGUGCUAUAGAGGGAAUGGAUGAGUUUGUGGAGGAUUUGUUAUUCUGCAAAAUGGAUGAAAUUCUGAGACCUAAAUAAAACUUCUAUGUAAGUACCCUGAACUCUGAGGAAGUACUGUAAUAGCCAUGUAAUGUGUGAGUUCCAGAGGCAUGCGCAGAUGGGACAAGCAAAAAAGCUGACAGUAAUUGGCUAGAAAAUAUUAUUAGAACAGAAUACUCCAAAUUUGUGAAGGCUUUAAAACAAAUGAGGGUUAGAUUUGGCUCUGCUCUGUAGAACUGUGACAAUCAGUCAGAAGAUUUGGAACUAGAUGUGUCCCAUCGUAAGUGCAAAUCAAUUAGCUUCAGCAACUAUUAACCCAUUUAUCCAGUGUUGAAUUCCAGCCACCUACAUUGUCAGGAGUGGAAGGGAACCCUUUAUUCAAAACAAAACAUUCUAACAGUCUAACAGGUGGGAAAAUGGUCGCAGAGGGGUUUUAGUUCCCAGAAGAUAAAACCAUCCAAAUCAGAGUUAGAGCUUGUGCUGACCCUGGCAGCGCUUUACUGAGGCUCAGCAAUGAAAUGCUGCUGUGGUUGUGUUUCAGAGUCACAGGGUCCAUCCAGUGUCACUGCAAAGAGAAGCUCUCCUGGAAUUUCAUGUAGUUCUGGAUCAGAAAUCUCGCAUGAUCCUGAUGUCAGUUGAAGGCCAUAUCUGAUCUUUCUAGGCUCUUACACACUGCCCUUGGAGUGGGCUGGGCCAACACUGCCCUCAAUUCCCAUGGAGGAAUCAGAACCUCAGAAAACUUCAGGAUCUUAUCUGAGUUCGGAAUUUGUACCACAGUUUAGCUUUGUGUUGAAAAGAUUAAACUCUCAGAGUACAUUUUGGGUUCCAGCAAAUAGUUACAUAGAAUUCCACUCUUUUAAUAACUUCACUCAUCUGCUCAGAGAGUCUCUCUCAAAAGAAGAGCCAAUUCCCUCACACAUUAACAUAUAGUUUUGGCCUCGUGCUUCCAUUUUUACUUUCAUGAGCAAUUUAAAAAUGUAUUCAGAAAUGGAACAGAAUCUUUGUGAGGAGUUAACUAAAUUCCUACUUUUGUUUCGAUUCUUUGUAUUAGGACCUUUGCAAUGUUCAUGCAUAGGUUUGAUUUUUUUUCUUCAUACUUCACUUUAAUACGUAAGUUCAGCCCUAAAGUUCUAUAUGCUAAGCAUAUGCAUGGUUAAACACAAAAGAAGAUACUGAUCAUGACCCCAUCCCCAGAUAACCACCUGUAACCCAAACAGACUGAGUGCCGCACCCUGCUGCCCUGGUGCACUGGUGGUCUGGAGUCCCUUGUGUUGCUGUGAUUGACAGAAUGACAGAAAAUGCAAGGCAAUACUUAUUAUCUCUUCAGUGGUAUUAUAAAUAGCAAGAGAUGAUGUGUAAUUUGGCCUCAUAUACAUUUUGUCUUUAUUAAAGCAGAUACUAAGUUGCAU
rnacentral:lncRNA from 7 species